GUUUACUAAACUUUCGAAAUGCUUCCUGCCACAAAAAUAAAAUAUUAAGAAACUAAGUCACUCAAAGGGACACUGCAUGCUAAUUGCAUGUAGGGCUUAAUUCCAGCAUCUUGAACAACAAAUACGAUUGCUGCAACCCGUUUUUUGGCCUUGUUUUCGUAUUUUGAAAUCCUCGCUCGGGUACCCGAAAAGCGACCAUUUUAAUGAAUUCCAGUGGCUGCACAGUUUUGAGCAGCAGUAUCCAUCGUUUCCAUGGUUUCUAUUGUGAUGUCACUGGUGGGGAUAAAUUAAAUUGUAUUGAGAAUUCGGCGGUCGAGCAGGCGCUCUGAACAUACCUUUCCCGAAAACACCGACAAAAUAGGCUUUUGCGUCCAUUAAAAUUGAAUGCUCUAUGGUUAGGGUGUCUACAAUCAAGCGGUUAAUAAACUGCACUUGUUAAAUUCACAAAAGAUAGAGAAAAUGGUGAGAAUCAUAGACAAAUGGCUCAUUGUUCCCGCCGACCAAGUGGCCGUGUGCUGUGGGAGCUACAUCGGUGUUGCUAUGAUACCGCCGCCAUCUUGGAAACGAGUUCUAAACUAGACAAAUGCUCGAUCAGAACUGGUCAAUUUAAAAGUCACUCUCCCGAUCAAAAAAGCACAUCAUUGAACAUUUCUCGAUCAAUUUUGUUCUUGGCCUACAUUAUUUAGCGUCUAGCCAUGAUAAAAAUGAAUUUAGAUAACUGUUUAAAACAAAUUUUUGAGGUAAAUUGUGUUACAUGACACCCUAAUUUCUUCGUAACAAGUACUUAGCUUACUUAUUGCUGGACAAAGAUGGUUUAGAUCUUCAAUAGAAGAAAUUUACUUAUCAAGACAGGUGCACUUCCGUAUAAUGGCAAUUGAAAAACUGUGCCCAUCUUCUAGCAGCACCAUACAGGGAAUUUCAUCUGGUGGUCAGCUCAUGGCAGCAAGAGAUGUUUCUUCCACUUGUAGGGGGGUUUGUCCAAAAGUAGGAGUGUUUGUCCACAAGUAGAGUUUUUUUUUUUUAUCAUAGCAUAAGUUCAACUUCCUGUGACAUGAGUUUCACAGGGGUUUCACACAUAGCUUUUGCGUUCAUCCCUUGACAUCCCAAACCCUCAUGUUCCAGCAUUUAAUUAAUUCCUUAAAGCUUAAGAAUACAAAUUUCAUAGUUAUUACUGUGUAAUUUCAGUUGUGCUUCACUAAGAUCAGUUACUUACAGCUCAAGCUGACAAUUAGCAUUAUAUACCAAUUCUGAUCAAUCAAUACAAAACUUUUUCUAGAGGAAACAACAAUAUUCUGUUUUUUUAACAAGCAAAACCAGUUAUGCUUUAUCAGUAGAAAUAGAUUGAAAAUAUAUAUAUUUUUAUAUUUUUACAAACUUUGAUAUUUAUUCAAAACUUCUGGAUAAACUUCCAUCUAGAGUAAACCUGGAAAAUUCUUCUGCUCUAACAAAGCAUCUUUGUCCAGAUUAUGGUGUGAUGCAAUAAACUAAAAUCAUAUGGAGGUAACAAACUUUUUUAUUGUUGGCAGUGCAACGUCACACCCAUUACAUAUCUAACCUCUGCAGUAUGAAUAUAGUUGAAAAAAAUCCAAGCAUUGUUGUGUUGUUGAUUUUAGAGUCAAACAGUUUUCCAUCUUUAUUGAGUCAACAACAAUAAUUACUACUACAUUCAGAGACAAUACAAUACAGAAACACACAAAACAGAGAAGUGAUCUCAAAAGGGAACACUUUUGGGCUGCCAGAAAGCCAUAUGUAACAAAAAAAUACCUACUGCCCCCUUUACCACUGAACCAAACCCCCCCUUGAGCGAAAAGCUAGAUCCGCCCCUGGGAACUUAACUUAAAUGAAUUACAAAAUCAUUCUGUGACAUGCAUAGGUAGGUCCACAAAAAAGAUGUCAAAUGUAGAUGUUCAAUGUCAAAUAUAGGGGUGAGGUAGUUUUGAAAUAAAAAGCUUAGGGAUUAGGAAAAGUGAUUGGAUCAGCUAGGUUACAUAUGUGAUUCUAUAGGGUAAUUCUAUUACGUAAGGGUUGAAUACAAAGGAUGGAAGCAGUUCGCCAUAUAACACCUUAAGGACUGGCUUAUUACAUAAUCUUUACUAAGUAGAAUACUAUUUAAAGAAAAUAAGACUAAAAAAAGAGGUGAAAUCCAAUAGCAUUUGCCUUUUUUUGGCAAAAACCAAAUGAGGUUCAGGUUAUUAUUGACCUGCAAGAAAACCCAGGAGAGUUGAUGGUUGAUUGAACCAUAUCUGAACCAUAUUGAACCAUACUUCAAAAGCUCAGAAGAUCAAUAACCAAAAUUAUUUAGCAACCCUUGCAUGCAUCUGGGUCUUGGACAAUAUAGCCAUGGAGAACUCAUUUGGGCAGUGUUUUGCCUGGCUAGUUGAAGUAACGAAAAAAGCUUUCUUCGUUAUGAGAUUACUUAAGUACAUUUUCAAUACGUACGGGUAAAAUCAUCAACAAGAGAGUAUUCGAAAGGUGCAUUUCGCGCUAGAGCAAAUAAGUAAAUGUACUUACAGUAUACGUCAGAAUGGUUUUUAAUUAGAACAAUUUUUUAUACUAGUUUUAACAGAAUUUACAUUCAAUAUUUUGUGAAACAAUCGCUUACUAUUCUUCAUAUGAUCGAAUACGAGCUUUGUGUGAGCUAUCAAUACCUUUUUAUCGAGACACUUUGCUUGCAGCAUACAAUAACAGCACGGAAAUACAGAUAAUACGCAGACAAAAA